rnacentral:rRNA from 1 species
CCCAAACCCCUGUGAACAUACCACUUGUUGCCUCGGCGGAUCAGCCCGCUCCCGGUAAAACGGGACGGCCCGCCAGAGGACCCCUAAACUCUGUUUCUAUAUGUAACUUCUGAGUAAAACCAUAAAUAAAUCAAAACUUUCAACAACGGAUCUCUUGGUUCUGGCAUCGAUGAAGAACGCAGCAAAAUGCGAUAAGUAAUGUGAAUUGCAGAAUUCAGUGAAUCAUCGAAUCUUUGAACGCACAUUGCGCCCGCCAGUAUUCUGGCGGGCAUGCCUGUUCGAGCGUCAUUUCAACCCUCAAGCACAGCUUGGUGUUGGGACUCGCGUUAAUUCGCGUUCCUCAAAUUGAUUGGCGGUCACGUCGAGCUUCCAUAGCGUAGUAGUAAAACCCUCGUUACUGGUAAUCGUCGCGGCCACGCCGUUAAACCCCCAACUUCUGAAUGUUGACCUCGGAUCAGGUAGGAAUACCCGCUGAACUUAAGCAUAU